ACCCUCUCGGGGUCGCACCUGGAGAGUUUCCAGUACUCUACCAGUCUCGGCUACGGGAGGGAGAAUCAAGCAGAGGCCUACCCGUUCCAUGCCUAGCUUGGCCAGUGGCUAGCGAAUGGAAGGCGAUCUGCUACAUGU